rnacentral:lncRNA from 1 species
UGUUGCCAUGGCAGUGCUGGGACAAGGAGCAAGAACCUGGGUUCAAUUUCUAGUACCUACAUCCAUCCAGAACUGCAGCUCUAACUCCAAGGAUCUGACUCCCUCGUCUCUUCUCCCAGGGCAUCAGGCACACACAGCACUCAGAGCCAGCCAGUGAGGGAUUCAAAGGCCUACGGGGGAAACUUGGCAGACAUGGGACCUCAGCUAACUCCCAUAAUCUCCCUGAGGAUCAGAUUUUCCAAUUUAGUGGACUACAUAA